rnacentral:rRNA from 1 species
UACCCGCGGCCCGAGUGGUGCUCAUUAUUAUUGAGCUUAAAGCGUCCGUAGCCGGCCUUGUAAAUCUUUGGGUAAAUCGGGCAGCUCAACUGUUCGAAUUCCGAGGAGACUGCAAGGCUCGGGACCGGGAGAGGUUCGAGGUACUUCGGGGGUAGGGGUAAAAUCCUGUAAUCCUCGAAGGACCACCAGUGGCGAAGGCGUCGAACUAGAACGGAUCCGACGGUGAGGGACGAAGCCCUGGGGCGCAAACGGG